AUUGCUCAUUACGUUUUUGUUCACGGCAAUGAAAGCUAAGCUAAGCUAAACUUUAAACUGCGUCACACGCGUAUUUCGAUGUAUAAUUUACCAGAAGAUAAAUUAUAACAAAUACAUGUCAAACAGUAGUCAAACAAAACACACUGACAACAAAAUACAAAUAAUAAAUGAUUUUCUGUCGAAUAAAAAGUAAUUACAGCUUGUAGUAUCUUAAACCGGAAGAGAUAUGUAAAGUCUUACCACUGGCGAGGAAAAGAAAACACGAAGAAAAAUCUUUGUUUUGUCGUCAUACAAGGUGACAAAGGUAAACAUGAAAAGAAAGUUAACACAAGCUUAAAGUAAUGUGGAAGUGUCUCUCCCUGACAGUCUGCAACUACUAAUUCAUAUGGAUUAAACAACUAAUCCAUAUAUAACUCAAAAGGGUUUAGUCCAAAUGUUCUGAAGAGAUUCAAUCGCUUUAUAUAAUGGACAGAUUUUAUUUAGGCUUUUAUUAACAAUCUAUUGACUUUUCUAUGCGUCAAAGUUAUAGUUGUGUAGAAAGCGGAGUGACAGAAAUCUAGGGCCCAUGAUUUCAGUGGUGCAGAAAAAGCAGACAGAAUCGCAGAAUCCAGUCAUAAAAUGACAAAUAAUUGCCAGAUUUUGGAUGAAUAAAUCAAAAGUAGGUCAGUAGGCUACUAGGUUUACAUCAAAAUACAAUACUGUGUCAGCCCAAAAAAUAGUAUUUAAUUAUGAACCCUGCAUUUGCGGGAUGUCUCUGUGUGAGUGAAUGGCGUAUGCGUGGUUUUGUUUACCACACACAACCCUGCUAAGCAUCUGCCGCCUGAAUAUACCAGUAGGCCUACUUGAACACACAUAAACAUGAUCUCAAGAACUGCUCUGAGAGUUUUUAGGAAAUAAUAUAAUUAGUGAUGCUUUUGAUUAUUACAAUUUAAUGAAACGAUUAAAAUGGAAUAUAGAAAAUUUGAUAUAAAAUAAAAUAAUGAAUUUGAGAGAAAAAAUAUUUAUAAGGCCUUAAAAAUGUAAUUGUUGUAUGUAACAUAAAAUUUUGCCCCUGUUGUAACAUUAAAUUUCAUGAUAUCAAUUAAUUAGACAUGCUUUUUGAUUAAUAUUUUAAAAAUUAACCAUUAAAACAGAGUCUAGCAAAAAAAAAACAAAAAAAAAAAAUGGGAAUCCAU